AGUGAACGCUGGCGGUAGGCCUAACACAUGCAAGUCGAACGGCAGCACAGUAAGAGCUUGCUCUUACGGGUUGCGAGUGGCGGACGGGUGAGGAAUACAUCCGAAUCUACUUUUUCGUGGGGGAUAACGUAGGGAAACUUACGCUAAUACCGCAUAUGACCCACGGGUGAAAGCAAGGGAUCUUCGGACCUUGCGCGAUUGAAUGAGCCGAUGUCGGAUUAGCUAGUUGGCGGGGUAAAGGCCCACCAAGGCGACGAUCCGUAGCUGGUCUGAGAGGAUGAUCAGCCACCCUAGAACGGAGCCACGGUCCAUGCUCCUAAGGGAGGCCCCAGUCGGGUAUAUUGGGCAGUUGGCGCGAGCCUGACACAAUCGUACCGCGUGGGUGAAGAAGGCGCCCGGGUUGUAAAGCCCUUCUGUUGGGAAAGAACAGCAGCAGGUUAUGACCCAGCUGUUCUGACGGUACCCGAAGAAUAAGCACCGGCUAACUUCGUG
rnacentral:rRNA from 1 species